UAUCGAAUCGGAGAUUAUUGGGAUUCCUUUUCCGAAGAUUGGCGAAGAAGAAGAAGAAGAAGAAAGAUGAUUUACAGGAAAUGGAGUUUGCUAACGGGUCCAGCGGUUUUGUGCGGUGGCGUUGCAGCCGCUGCUCUUGCUGUAAAUUUUAUCUUCAAACAAGAUCCCUUCGCUAAACCGCCAGGAGAAAAGCAAGGUUCGACAUCAUCAAGCAAGUAGAACUGAUGUCAAGAGGUGACUUCGCAUCUCUUCAAGCGAUGCCAUGUUUUUCCCUUAUAAAUGUUUAUUUUGGUUUGUAAUCUGCAGAUGUGUUUUCGAAAACCCGACUUCUUUAUUUGAAUAAAUUUUGGUAACUGUUCAUUAAUCAACAUGAACGCAUCUAAUAUUGAUUGUUCAUUUAGCCUUUUGCAUACGUAGGGGCUGCAUAAAUAGUUUUAAGACUUGGGGAUUAAGCCAUCUAUAAUGAUUAAGCUGUUUGUAUGCGUUAAGUUA